UACGGAAGGCAGCAGUGGGGAAUAUUGCACAAUGGGCGCAAGCCUGAUGCAGCCAUGCCGCGUGUAUGAAGAAGGCCUUCGGGUUGUAAAGUACUUUCAGUCGUGAGGAAGGUGUUAAGGUUAAUAACCUUAGCAAUUGACGUUAGCGACAGAAGAAGCACCGGCUAACUCCGUGCCAGCAGCCGCGGUAAUACGGAGGGUGCGAGCGUUAAUCGGAAUUACUGGGCGUAAAGGGCACGCAGGCGGUUAAUUAAGUUGGAUGUGAAAUCCCCGGGCUUAACCUGGGAAUGGCAUUCAAGACUGGUUAGCUAGAGUCUUGUAGAGGGGGUAGAAUUCCAUGUGUAGCGGUGAAAUGCGUAGAGAUGUGGAGGAAAUACCGGUGGCGAAGGCGGCCCCUGGACAAAGACUGACGCUCAUGUGCGAAAGCGUGGGGAGCAAACAGAAAUUAGAUACC
rnacentral:rRNA from 1 species